AGUGAACGCUGGCGGUAGGCCUAACACAUGCAAGUCGAACGGCAGCACAGUAAGAGCUUGCUCUUACGGGUGGCGAGUGGCGGACGGGUGAGGAAUACAUCGGAAUCUACUUUUUCGUGGGGGAUAACGUAGGGAAACUUACGCUAAUACCGCAUCCGACCUACGGGUGAAAGCAGGGGAUCUUCGGACCUUGCGCGAUUGAAUGAGCCGAUGUCGGAUUAGCUAGUUGGCGGGGUAAAGGCCCACCAAGGCGACGAUCCGUAGCUGGUCUGAGAGGAUGAUCAGCGACACGAGAACUGAGACACGGUCCAGACUCCUACGGGAGGCAGCAGUGGGGAAUAUUGGACAAUGGGCGCAAGCCUGAUCCAGCCAGACCGCGUGGGUGAAGAAGGCCUUCGGGUUGUAAAGCCCUUUUGUUGGGAAAGAAAAGCAGCAGGUUAAUACCCCGCUGUUCUGACGGUACCCAAAGAAUAAGCACCGGCUAACUUCGUG
rnacentral:rRNA from 1 species